rnacentral:rRNA from 1 species
GACGAAGGUGGCGAGCGUUGUUCGGAAUCACUGGGCAUAAAGCGCACGUAGGCGGCGACGUAAGUUGGGUGUGAAAUCCCCGGGCUCAACCCGGGAACUGCUUCUGAUACUGGCGGACUUGAGGCCAGUAGGGGUCACUAGAACUGACGGUGGAGCGGUGAAAUGCGUAGAUAUCGUCAGGAAUGCCGGUGGUGAAGACGGGUGACUGGGCUGGUUCUGACACUGAGGCACGAAAGCGUGGGGAGCGAACGGG